CUCCUCACACAGACUCAUGCAAGCACAAACAGACACAAGAUUAUUUUUCAUUGAAUAUAAAUAUACAACAUACAUAGGUAUAAUAUAGCAGACAGCGUAGUGAACAUGUCUAGGAGCCAACUACAGAUUUGUAUUCAUAUUUGAAUACAACUUAAGUCACCACAUUAUGGGAACGGCAGAAUUAGUUUGUUUUGUUGACGUUGUCUGUGUCUGUGUGUAUGUUUGUGUGUGUGUGUGUGUGUGAGAGGAGGGUUAUGGCUGUUUUAGUGAUGUGGUUGACAUGGUGUGAAUUAUUGCAACUGUUUGUUCGUCUGAAUUCUGCAUUCUCCGUUCGCAAACAACGUGAACAAUUAUUACUAUUGUAAAAUGACAAUCGGAAAAGUGACUUUUGUGCCAUGACAAGUGAAAGGUAAAUGUACUUAUCCCAGGAGCAAGGCCUCAUAAACACACGCACACACACACACACACACACACACACACACACACACACACACACACACACACACACACACACACACACACACACACACACACACACACACACACACACACACACACACCUUUGCUGUUGUGCAAGCUGUGAUGGACACUUGUAGACCAACACUAUUCUCAAUUCAGUCCAUACUAAUUUUAUUUAAAGUAAAAUAUUUACAAGCCAGGGCAACAUGUUAGUGUUCGGCUGUUGGGGGAAACUAGAAUAGAUCUCACUGAACCAGAUAAUCUUAACCAGAUCUAUUCAACAAGCUAUUUUGUAUUGCAAGAGAAUAUCAUCAAACUAUCAUCAUUAUCCUUUAUAACAAGGCUAAUAUAGUUAUGGGAAUGAAGGAUAAUAAAAAAUCAAGCUGUUGAGAAUUAUUUUAUUAAACCUUCAUUAUAAGGCUUACAUACUAAUAGCAAUGAAGAAACUUAUUUAUCUUCAUUUCCUCCUUUGCACCGCUGCAUAUCCAGAUACGUAGAGCUAUAGGACGCUACACCCUUGCCUAGUUAUCUGUGGUCUGUGUGUGUGUGUGUGUGUGUGUGUGUGUGUGUGUGUGUGUGUGUGUGUGUGUGUGUGUGGGUGUGUGUGUGGUGUGUGGUGUGUGGUGUGUGGUGUGUGUGUGUAUUUCACAAUAUAUUCUCAGCCAUGGCAACAUGUCUGUAUUUGGCGGGAUGGCUCUGAGGGGGAAACUCCCCGGCCGUCCGAGCAGCCUUGAAACACCACAUCCCCAUCAGGUCAAACAGUUUAGAACGACCUGGACCAGAGAUCUGAAGGGCUUCGCAGGCCGCUUCUUAAAGGACGCCCCCUGACCCUAGCCCCCCAAAGGGCAGGGAAACCCCCCCUAAUGUCAGGGAACCUGGAGAAGGGACCCAGAAGAGGGGUCCCUCUCCAGGGAUGGUAGGAGUGCAAAAGGAGACGUAAUAAUGUGCAGACGUAAUGGUAGCAUAACAAGUGCUAUCUGAGAGAUAUCCUCUAUCCAUCGCUAUGUCUUGUCUUUAUAAUACCACACUUAAAAGCCGUUGUUUUAGUUAUUUCAUGAUUUUGUUUUAUAUGUACUAAGGAUUUUUGCACUUUUGGUGUACAUCUUCAUCGUUGAAGGCUCUGAUUGUAAUUAGAAUCAAAGCACUUAUUGACCCACUUUACACGAGAGAGAGAGAGAGAGAGAGAGAGAGAGAGAGAGAGAGAGAGAGAGAGAGAGACAGAGAGAGAGAGAGAGAGAGAGAGAGGAAGGGUUCUCAUUAGACUUGAAAACCAACCUGGGGCUGGGGGAGGCUGCACACCUGUUGCUCGUUGACCAAUCAGUGGUCAUCAGGUUAACGUACGCUCACUCUGAUCCACAGUGUUGUCCAAUCACAGGGAGAGGGUUGGGCUCACAGAGGGAAUAUUGCAUUGGGAAUCGGGAAUUGGGAAGAGUGUGUGUGUAAAUUGUGCCUGAGAAAGAUGAGUGAGUGAGUGAGCAAGUGAGUGAGUGAGAUGAUUUAAACAGUUAUUGCUCAGAGGUGGUGUGAUUGAGAGGAGGGAUAUGGCUGUUUUAGUAAUGUGGUCUCAUGAAAAAGUUAAUGUUGACACGCACACACAAACACACACACACACACACACACACACACACACACACACACACACACACACACACACACACACACACACACACACAC